rnacentral:rRNA from 1 species
AACGAACGCUGGCGGCGUGGAUAAGACAUGCAAGUCGAACGAGAGAAUUGCUAGCUUGCUAAUAAUUCUCUAGUGGCGCACGGGUGAGUAACACGUGAGUAACCUGCCCCCGAGAGCGGGAUAGCCCUGGGAAACUGGGAUUAAUACCGCAUAGUAUCGAAAGAUUAAAGCAGCAAUGCGCUUGGGGAUGGGCUCGCGGCCUAUUAGUUAGUUGGUGAGGUAACGGCUCACCAAGGCGAUGACGGGUAGCCGGUCUGAGAGGAUGUCCGGCCUCACUGGAACUGAGACACGGUCCAGACACCUACGGGUGGCAGCAGUCGAGAAUCAUUCACAAUGGGGGAAACCCUGAUGGUGCGACGCCGCGUGGGGGAAUGAAGGUCUUCGGAUUGUAAACCCCUGUCAUGUGGGAGCAAAUUAAAAAGAUAGUACCACAAGAGGAAGAGACGGCUAACUCUGUGCCAGCAGCCGCGGUAAUACAGAGGUCUCAAGCGUUGUUCGGAAUCACUGGGCGUAAAGCGUGCGUAGGCUGUUUCGUAAGUCGUGUGUGAAAGGCGCGGGCUCAACCCGCGGACGGCACAUGAUACUGCGAGACUAGAGUAAUGGAGGGGGAACCGGAAUUCUCGGUGUAGCAGUGAGGUGCGUAGAUAUCGAGAGGAACACUCGUGGCGAAGGCGGGUUCCUGGACAUUAACUGACGCUGAGGCACGAAGGCCAGGGGAGCGAAAGGGAUUAGAUACCCCUGUAGUCCUGGCAGUAAACGGUGCACGCUUGGUGUGCGGGGAAUCGACCCCCUGCGUGCCGGAGCUAACGCGUUAAGCGUGCCGCCUGGGGAGUACGGUCGCAAGAUUAAAACUCAAAGAAAUUGACGGGGACCCGCACAAGCGGUGGAGUAUGUGGCUUAAUUCGAUGCAACGCGAAGAACCUUACCUGGGCUUGACAUGUAAUGAACAACAUGUGAAAGCAUGCGACUCUUCGGAGGCGUUACACAGGUGCUGCAUGGCCGUCGUCAGCUCGUGUCGUGAGAUGUUUGGUUAAGUCCAGCAACGAGCGCAACCCCUGUUGCCAGUUACCAGCACGUGAAGGUGGGGACUCUGGCGAGACUGCCCAGAUCAACUGGGAGGAAGGUGGGGAGGACGUCAGGUCAGUAUGGCCCUUAUGCCCAGGGCUGCACACGUACUACAAUGCCCAGUACAGAGGGGGCGGAAGCCGCGAGGCGGAGGAAAUCCUGAAAACUGGGCCCAGUUCGGACUGUAGGCUGCAACCCGCCUACACGAAGCCGGGAUCGCUAGUAAUGGCGCAUCAGCUACGGCGCCGUGAAUAAGUUCCCGGGUCUUGCACU